rnacentral:rRNA from 1 species
UACGUAGGGUGCGAGCGUUAAUCGGAAUUACUGGGCGUAAAGCGUGCGCAGGCGGUUAUGCAAGACAGGUGUGAAAUCCCCGGGCUCAACCUGGGAACUGCACUUGUGACUGCAUGACUAGAGUGCGUCAGAGGGAGGUGGAAUUCCGCGUGUAGCAGUGAAAUGCGUAGAGAUGCGGAGGAACACCGAUGGCGAAGGCAGCCUCCUGGGAUGACACUGACGCUCAUGCACGAAAGCGUGGGGAGCAAACAGGAUUAGAAACCCCCGUAGUCC